rnacentral:rRNA from 1 species
GACGAACGCUGGCGGCGUGCUUAACACAUGCAAGUCGAACGGAAAGGCCCUGCUUUUGUGGGUUUCUCGAGUGGCGCACGCGUGAGUAACACGUGAGUAACCUGCCCUUGACUUUGGGAUAACUUCAGGAAACUCGGGCUAAUACCGGAUAUGAGCUCCUGCUGCAUGUUGUUGGUUGGUAAGUUUCGGCGGUUGUGGAUGUACUCGCUGCUUAUCAGCUUGUUGGUGGGGUAGGUGCUUACCAGGCCUAUGACGGGUAGCCGGCAUGGGAGGGGGACCGGCGACAUUGGGACUGAGAUACGGAGCAGACUGGUACGGGAGGCAGCAGUGGGGAAUAUUGCGGAAUGGGGGGACGCCUGAUGAAGAAACGCCGGGUGCGGGAUGACGGCUUUUGGGUUGUAAACAGAUUUCGCCUGAGACGAAGAGUGCUUGACGGUAAUGGGUAAAGAAGCACCGGCUAACUACGUG